GACGAACGCUGGCGGCGUGCCUAUACAUGCAAGUUGAGCGAUGAAGAUUGGUGCUUGCACCAAUUUGAAGAGCAGCGAACGGGUGAGUAACGCGUGGGGAAUCUGCCUUUGAGCGGGGGACAACAUUUGGAAACGAAUGCUAAUACCGCAUAAUAACUUUAAACAUAAGUUUUAAGUUUGAAAGAUGCAAUUGCAUCACUCAAAGAUGAUCCCGCGUUGUAUUAGCUAGUUGGUGAGGUAAAGGCUCACCAAGGCGAUGAUACAUAGCCGACCUGAGAGGGUGAUCGGCCACAUUGGGACUGAGACACGGCCCAAACUCCUACGGGAGGCAGCAGUAGGGAAUCUUCGGCAAUGGACGAAAGUCUGACCGAGCAACGCCGCGUGAGUGAAGAAGGUUUUCGGAUCGUAAAACUCUGUUGGUAGAGAAGAACGUUGGUGAGAGUGGAAAGCUCAUCAAGUGACGGUAACUACCCAGAAAGGGACGGCUAACUACGUGCCAGCAGCCGCGGUAAUACGUAGGUCCCGAGCGUUGUCCGGAUUUAUUGGGCGUAAAGCGAGCGCAGGUGGUUUAUUAAGUCUGGUGUAAAAGGCAGUGGCUCAACCAUUGUAUGCAUUGGAAACUGGUAGACUUGAGUGCAGGAGAGGAGAGUGGAAUUCCAUGUGUAGCGGUGAAAUGCGUAGAUAUAUGGAGGAACACCGGUGGCGAAAGCGGCUCUCUGGCCUGUAACUGACACUGAGGCUCGAAAGCGUGGGGAGCAAACAGG
rnacentral:rRNA from 1 species